rnacentral:rRNA from 1 species
CACCGCGGUCAUACGAGUGUUAGCCCAAGUGGAUGGUCAACGGCGUAAAGAGUGGUUAGGGACUCCUAAAACUAAAGCUGAACGCCCACAGGGCCGUUAUACGCAUCCGAGAGCCUGAAACCCCGCCACGAAGGUGGCUUUAACCUUACCCGAACCCACGAUAGCUAGGGCACAAA